GGAUGACUUUUUGUAUUUAAAAAACUUUAUUUUUUCCUUUCUAAAAAUAAAAUAGGCUCAUUACAUGCAAUUUGCAAAAUACACUGCCAACUAUUUCAGUAAAAUGUUUUAAAGAUAUAAUGUUAUGGACACUGAAAGGGUCCUUCCCUGUGUACACCCUCCCCCAAUCCCUAAAAAUGAAAUUCCUUCAUUAGACUCUUAUCUGAAGUUAGAGAAGUUCACAGUUAAACUAAACAUGGGGUUGGGGAGAAAUACCACAAAAUGUUACUUUUUUUUUCUUUUUUUUUUUUAGUAACUUACCUUGAAUUAGUUUAAGGCUAGAGGACUGCCUCUGAGAGGCCAGAGGCCACAGGAGGCCAGGGCUGUCCAAGAAUCUCUGGGAGGAUGACAAAGGCAAACUGCUGUCAUGGAUUUAGCCCCGGGCCAAGUCCUAGUGGAGACCCAGCAGUUCUAGAUAGUUCUUUUGGCAAAUAUAGCUGUCUUUGACUGAUAUGGUGCCCCAAACCUGGCGGCAUCGCAAAUGGAAAUGCAUGAGAACCCCAGGAGAUGAAGCAUUUCGGUGAGGACCAUUUGCUUAGCAUGACCCUUAUGGGACCCAGCAUGCUUUUGAAGCAGUUUCACAGAUGUUUUCACAGCAUGUGCUACAUUACGAAAUGCUUGUAAGGUAGUGCAGAAUUUCCAUUUCCCUCUCUAGAACUGAUUUUGGGUUUCUUUUCAUAAGCAUUUUAAAACACGCUCCUCUUAGACUGCCUCUUUCACAGUACACGUGUAGAAACCUGCCUGAGAAAAUGUCAGUCUCCAGAGGGAGGGCUUCUGUAUUUCCCC
rnacentral:lncRNA from 1 species